rnacentral:rRNA from 1 species
UACGUAGGGUCCGAGCGUUGUCCGGAAUUACUGGGCGUAAAGAGCUCGUAGGUGGUUUGUCGCGUUGUUCGUGAAAACUCACAGCUUAACUGUGGGCGUGCGGGCGAUACGGGCAGACUGGAGUACUGCAGGGGAGACUGGAAUUCCUGGUGUAGCGGUGGAAUGCGCAGAUAUCAGGAGGAACACCGGUGGCGAAGGCGGAUCCCUGGCCUGGCACUGAC